GAGCACGUAGGUGGGUUUGUAAGUCAGAUGUGAGAGCCUUCUGUUCAACGGAAGAAUUGCAUCUGAAACUACAAACCUUGAGUAUAGGAGGGGAGAGUGGAACUUCUGGUGGAGCGGUGAAAUGCGUAGAUAUCAGAAGGAACGCCGGCGGCGAAAGCGACUCUCUGGCCCAUAACUGACGCUGAGUGUGCGAAAGCUAGGGGAGCAAACGGGAUUAGAUACCCCGGUAGUCCUAGCCGUAAACGAUGGGCACUAAGUAGAGGGGUUU
rnacentral:rRNA from 1 species